CUAGCCCUUGGCAACCACUCUACUUUCUGUCUUUAUGAAUUUGACUACUUUAGGAACCUCAUAUAGGAGGAAUCAUACAAUAUUUGUCUUUUUGUGACCGACUUAUUUCACUUAGCAUAAUAUCUUCAAGGUUCAUCUGUGGUGUACGUCGGGUCAGAAUUUCCUUCCUUCAUGAAGGCUGAGCGAUGCUUCAUUGCAUGGUUUUGCUCCAUCACCCAGGCUGGAAUGCAGGAAUGGAAACAUGGCUCACUGCAGCCUCAACCUCCUGGGCUCAACUGAUCCUCUCGCCUUAGCCUCCUGGGUAGCUGGGACCACAGGU
rnacentral:lncRNA from 10 species